AAGGAAUCAGUGAACUACCCACAGGGCUGCAGGUGGAGGACGUAGUAACAAUUGUGGGAAGCAUAAUGUUACCACAACCAGUUGGGGACCUACUACAAAGAGGACCGGCAUGCGCUACCAAGGUGGGGACGGGGCCAAUCGACAACGUACCGAUGGUGGAGGACCUGCUACUAAAUGUGCAAGAGGGUGACAGCACCAAGCGGGAAUGCAGAUGGCAAUAUGUGGGAGAAGUGUCAGGAACGGGGGGCGGGAGCAACGGGCGGGGCGGCACUGCCUAUGGGGAGGGCCUCAGAGGGGCUG
rnacentral:lncRNA from 1 species